rnacentral:rRNA from 1 species
AUUGAACGCUGGCGGCAUGCCUUACACAUGCAAGUCGAACGGCAGCGCGGGGCAACCUGGCGGCGAGUGGCGAACGGGUGAGUAAUAUAUCGGAACAUACCCUAGAGUGGGGGAUAACGUAGUGAAAGUUACGCUAAUACCGCAUACGCACUAAGGUGGAAAGUGGGGGAUUCGCAAGAACCUCAUGCUCAUGGAGUGGCCGAUAUCUGAUUAGCUAGUUGGUGAGGUAAAGGCUCACCAAGGCGACGAUCAGUGGCUGGUUUGAGAGAACGACCAGCCACACUGGAACUGAGACACGGUCCAGACUCCUACGGGAGGCAGCAGUGGGGAAUUUUGGACAAUGGGGGCAACCCUGAUCCAGCAAUGCCGCGUGAGUGAAGAAGG